rnacentral:lncRNA from 1 species
CUCAGCCCCGCCGGCAGCGGGAGCGCUCCGCCGGCCGGGCGGGCUCUGCCCUGCGGGCCCUGCCCAGCCCUGCGCCCAACCCAGCCCGCAGGCACCUCCUCGACGCCCGGCUCUGCAGAUCUAGAGGGGAUGUUUGAAGACAUCACCUAUCCACCACUGCCAUCUUUUCUCAUUCUAUCCUCAGAAUUGCCAUCAGCUGGACAUACUCAUCUCUAUCAUUCUUGUCAGCAAGUAACCAGAAGGAAGAGAUUUAUAAAGCAGAUGUCAGAAUGUCAAAUCUGCCUUCAGCUGAUUUUCUAA